rnacentral:rRNA from 1 species
GAUGAACGCUAGCGGCAGGCCUAACACAUGCAAGUCGAGGGGUAACAUAGGAGAGCUUGCUCUUUUGAUGACGACCGGCGCACGGGUGAGUAACGCGUAUACAAUCUACCUUGUACAGGAGUAUAGCCCAGGGAAACUUGGAUUAAUCCUCCAUAGUCUAUAUAAAUAGCCUUAUUAAUAUAGUAAAGAUUUAUCGGUACAAGAUGAGUAUGCGUCCUAUUAGUCUGUUGGUAAGGUAACGGCUUACCAAAACUACGAUAGGUAGGGGCCCUGAGAGGGGGAUCCCCCACACUGGUACUGAGACACGGACCAGACUCCUACGGGAGGCAGCAGUGAGGAAUAUUGGACAAUGGGUGAGAGCCUGAUCCAGCCAUGCCGCGUGCAGGAAGACGGCCCUAUGGGUUGUAAACUGCUUUUAUACGGGAAGAAACCUCCCCUCGUGAGGGGAGCUGACGGUACCGUAAGAAUAAGGACCGGCUAACUCCGUGCCAGCAGCCGCGGUAAUACGGAGGGUCCGAGCGUUAUCCGGAAUCAUUGGGUUUAAAGGGUCCGUAGGCGGGCAGCUCAGUCAGUGGUGAAAGUUUGCGGCUUAACCGUAAAAUUGCCAUUGAUACUGGUUGUCUUGAAUUGGUGUGAAGUGGUUAGAAUGAGUAGUGUAGCGGUGAAAUGCAUAGAUAUUACUCAGAAUACCAAUUGCGAAGGCAGAUCACUAACACUAUAUUGACGCUGAGGGACGAAAGCGUGGGGAGCGAACAGGAUUAGAUACCCUGGUAGUCCACGCCGUAAACGAUGGUUACUAGCUGUUGGACCGAUUGAGGUUCAGUGGCCAAGCGAAAGUGAUAAGUAACCCACCAGGGGAGUACGUUCGCAAGAAUGAAACUCAAAGGAAUUGACGGGGGCCCGCACAAG